AAGAGAAAAUGAAGGCUGUUGCGCCGAUGCUGGUCUGGAGCACCACUCAGAGGCCUUGUUGUCGAGUGGGAGGAUCAGAAAGUAGUGGGAGGCGACGCCGAGUGGAUCGACGAUAGUUGUGCUGUGUUUGGUGUCCAAGAGCUGGCGGCAGGAAGCGAAGGUCAUCGAGGUCGCAGUCCACAGAUCCUCGUCCCUGUUGUGCCACCCCACAGAUGAUUUCCUCUUUGGUCGCCCCUCCUCACGGACGCUUCAAAACGUCAUCUCAGCACAACAUCGGUUGAGGAGAGGAUCAUUGUCGUGCGCUCGAUGGCGGGAACAGACCGAGGUCCUCAUUCGACCUUAAUUUCAAGGUCUUGAAGGAGUUCUUCAUUUUCAGUUCUGGCCAUGAACUUUAGAAUCCCUAGGCCUGAAGUUAGUCCUCUCUUCCAACUGAGCAAUAUGCAGAGCCUCUGGUAUGCGCAGUCGUGCUCUGUCGCCGCCACCUGCUACUUCAAGUCCGCCGACAGCCUCGCCGGAAACUGGGGCUUAUCCAUAGCCCGACUCAAUCUCUGCGUCGCUCUCUUCGCCAGUAUACAUGCAUCUCGUUAAUCUGUUCGUUGUACAACUUGUAGUGGAUUUUAGGUGUACGGCCAUAUUGUUGUGGAUUUUAGGAAUUCAUAGAAAAAAUGCUUAUCUGAAUUCAGGUGUACAACCAUAUUGUUGUGGAUUUUAGGUUGGAUGCUCACAUAAGAGGUGAUCUGAUUUUUCUA